rfam:Oenococcus alcoholitolerans strain TFRJ-M7.2.18 contig00139, whole genome shotgun sequence.
GCGGACGUGGCGGAAUUGGCAGACGCGCAGGAUUAAGGAUCCUGUGGUAGAAAUACCGUAUGGGUUCGACUCCCAUCGCCCGCA